AAGUUUUAGUUUUAAGACUAAAAAGAAUAUAAUCUCUCCUUCUCCUGUGACUCAAAACAAAAGACGGAGAGGAGAGCACAGGAAUCAUGACUCAAAACAAACGAUGAGCGCACAAGAAACAUUUAUGCCGUCCAACUGCAGGAACAACACGAUCCUCCUGUUUAGACCGGUUUUCACAGAGCUUUGAGUUCUUCCGCUUUAAUGAAACAGCCUCAACAAAUCAAACAGAAAAUCACGGGAGUCAAUCACAUGGAGAUUGCAAGGCACACAUGACCAAAGAAGAAGAUGGAACGAAUUCUGAACAACCUCUAAAGCCGAUGAUGAUUACUAAUCUAGACUCACAAUAAUGAAGUGUGGUACAUAUACUUAGGGUGUUCCAAUCGUAUGACUGAGCAUCGUGAGUGGCUUGUCAACUUUGAUUCAAACAAGAAAAGCAUGGUGAAGUUUGCUGACAACAGGGCCACCCAGGCUGAAGGAACGUCGUUGUCAAAAGAAAAGAUGGAAGGCAAUCAAUAAUCACUAAUGUCCUCUAUGUCCCUGGUAUGACCACCAACCUGAUCAGUCUAGGCCAGCUCUUGGAGAGAGGCUUCUCAGCUACCUCAGGCAAAGAUUUUCUGGAGGUUCAUGACAGAGCAAGAAAAUUGGUGAUGAAAGCACCCUUGGCCAAAAAUAGAACCUUCAAGGUAAAACACCAUAGAAUCUCAAUGUUUCUAUGUUGCUAUUCUGAAACAUGAUUCAUGAUUGUGGCACCUUAGGUUAGGUUAUUUGAACUUUAGGGAUAUGAAACAAUUGUGGUCUAAAGGAAUGGUAAGAGGAUUUCCAUUAGUUUAAACCCCUAAGUAAAUCUACCCCUAAGUAAAUCGGUGAUAAUUACUCGAUAAGCAAGCAACCUAGAAACUCCUUUAACAAGUACAACACCUCUAGAGCCAAUGAAAUAUUACAUGUAGUUUAUUCUGAUGCAUGUGGACCCUUUGAUAGUCCAUCACUAGGAGAGAAUAAGUAUUUCGUAUCCUUUGUUGAUUGAUGACUUGAGCAAGAAGUUAUGGAUCUACCUAAUCAAGGCAAAGAGUGAUGUGUACAAGAUAUUCAGAGAAUUCAAGGUUCUUGUGGAGAAGCAGUCAGGAAAGCAUAUCAAAACUCUAAGAACAUAUGGUGGUGGGGAGUUUACAUCAAGAGAAUUUGAAGAUUUUUACAGGGAACAAGGUAUAGUGCAUGAAGUGACUGCACCUUACCCACCCCAACACAAUGGCACUGCAGAAAGAAGAAACAACUAUUCUAAACAUGGUUAGAAGCAUGCUAGCUUUUGGGGUGAAGCAGCCAUGACUGCAGGAUAUGUGUUGAACAUGUGCCCAACUAAAAGACUUGGCUUGAUGGUCCCAGAAGAAGCUUGGUCAGGAAACAAGCCCUCAGUCAAACACUUUAAAAUUUUUGGGUCUAUAUGCUACAGACAUGUAUGUACCUGAUUAAAGAAGAAAGAAGUUAGAUGAUAAAAGUGAGAAGGUGAUCUUUGUAGGCUACACUCAACUGGCUCAUAUAAACUAUACAACCCAGAAAAUCAACAAGUCACAUUCAACUGGGAUGUCUAUUUUGAUGAAGCAUAUUCAUGGGAAGAGUUCCAACCAAAAGCAAAGACAAGCUCCAACAUCCAGCUUGAACGGGAAGAUACUGAGGCAAGCGUAGAAGCACACUGUGAAGCAGCAGAAAAUGAUCUACAAAGAGAAGAAGGUAGACCUACAAGGACAAAACAGCCUUCAUCAAGGCUGAGGGACUAUCAUGUAUACUCUGACGGCACUAUCUCAGAAGAAGGUGAUCUGGUACAGCAUAGGGCUCUCAUGGCAGAUAUGGAACCUAUAUCUUAUGAGGAAGCAAUGUCAAAGGAAGUACGGAGACUAGCCAUGGAAGAAGAGGUGAAGAGUAUUGAAAAGAAAAAUACUCGGGAAAUGAUAAAUCAGCCUCUAAACAAAAGGCCCAUAGCUGUCAGGGUCCCCUAUAUCCUGGAGUUCUAAGAAGCAGACAGUGGUAGCCUUGUCUACAUGUGAGGCUGAAUAUAUUGCUGCCUGUGCAACAGCCUUUCAAGCCUUGUGGCUGUCAUCAUUACUUGGAGAACUGAAGGUGAUCAAUAUUCAAUGAUGAUGCAUUGGAUCUGUUAGUAGAUAGCAAAUCAGCAAUUGAUCUGGCCAGAAAUCCUGUGUCACACGGAAGAAGCAAACACGUUGACACCAAGUAUCGUUUUCUUAGAGACCAAGUAAAUCAAAAUUUAGUAUUGCAGAACUGGAAUACAGCUAGCAGACAUCAUGACUAAGUCCUUGAAGGGCCGUGCUUGAUAUAAGGGUGUUCUUGAGCAAAUAAAUGGAAACGGUUAUUUUGACAUGUCGACAGGUGAUGCCGAAACAUACAUCAUACUAGAGAAUAUGAAAAAUCAAAGUUAAAGUAAACUAUAUAUUUCUAGAUAAGCUAAAGUAUACUACACUGUACUGCAUGAUAUUUCUAGAUAAGCUACUAAAGUAUACUACACUGUAUUGCAUCAUAUUUCUAGAUUGGCUAAAGUAUACUACACUGCACUGUACAUCAUAUUUCUAUAUAGGCUAAAGUAUACUACACUGUACUGCAUCAUAUUUCUAGAUAGGCUAAAGUAUACUACACUGUACAUCAUAUUUCUAGAUAGGCUAAAGUAUACUACACUGUACUGCAUCAUAUUUCUAGAUAAGCUAAAGUAUACUACACUGCAUCAUAUUUCUAGAUAGGCUAAAAUAUACUACACCAUACUGUACAUCAUAUUUCCAACUGCUUGAGUGAGUAGAAUGCAGAUUGACUUGCAUAUUAGGAGGCCUUCUCAAUCUUGUUGAGGGUCAGCUUUGUUGACUGCUUCCUCAGCCUCCGACAAGGCUUUCUCAGCCUUGUUGAGGGUGGAUUCAGCCUUGUUGGAGGCUUUCUCCGCCUUGUCGGAGGCCUGAUCAGCUCUUUCGAGAGUCAAUUCUGCCUUGAUGAUGGUCAAUGAAGCCAUGUUUAGUGUCAAUUCGGCUUUGUUGGAGGCCAUCUCGGCCUUGUGGGAGGCCUCCUCAGCCUUUUGGGAGGCCUUCUCAGCCGCGUCGACGAUUAAUUCUGCUUUAUCGAGGGUUAGGUCGGCCUUGUCGAGGGCCCAUUCAGCCCUGCGGAGUGUCAAUUCAGCUUGGUGGAGUGUUAGUUCAACUUGGUUGGAGGCUUUUUCAAUUUUGUCUAGGGUCAAUUCAUCCUUUUUGUGGGUCAAAUCAGCCCUGUGCGCAGCGUCGUCUUCUACUGCAUGUGCGCGAUUCUGAGCUUUGAAUUUACGCAAAAACGAGAUUCGUUUGCGUAGUUCGGUAACCAUUUGAUGGCCUUCGUCAACGAUUUGUUCGAAAGUGAGAAUGAAGAUUGCUAAAGCAACAAAGAAGCAUAGCAGGAGGCUAGUCCAUGCAGUCCCGUCUGAAACACCCUCGAGUAUGAAAAAAGAGCCAAUUCCAUUGAUUGUCAUUAGGACAAGAGUCUGGAUUAUGCCUUCAUUAGGACGGCUAAUUGCCAUUGCCAAUAGAGAGAAGUAUUGGGUUACAUUGUAGGAGUGCACCAGGGUAGUCAAGAUCUCUUGAAGCUUCUUUUUAGAAUCAUCAUCAGAGGUCUGGGCAUAAAGAACUGCCACAGUUCCGUGAAAAACGAACAUUAUGUAAGUGAAGUAAACAGAAGCUUUGAAUAACUCUGGCAUAGUUUCUUGAAGAAAAAAAGACUCUUAGAAGGUGAUUUCUUGAAGAAAGGGUGAAGAUGAAAAAGAUGGGUGAAGAUGAAAAAGAAAGAUGAAGAUUUGGUGUAAAUGAAAGUUGGUGAGAAAUGAAAGUGUGUGUAAUUCAGAGGAGAGCUUAAUGAAUUUGGAAAUUGGGUAAGUGUAUAGUUUAGAGAGAUAUUUAAUCAAAUCAUAUUAAUUAAAUAUUUUGAGAUAUAUUUAAAAAAUUAACUAUAAAAAAUUUAAGCAAUAAGAAGAAGUGGAAGUGAAGUGCUUUUGUCUGAGAAUAAAGCAGGAAUAUUUCUGGUCCGUGUGUGUUGCAGCAGGUUUAGUUUUGGAGGUUUAAGAUUUGACUUCCAAUUAAUUACACAAAUCUGUACGAGCCUGUUUCUGUAGAUUUCAACUGUUUUGAUCAGUUGAUAGGUUAGGAUAGGGGUGGACAGAAAACAACCGUCCGACGGAAUCCGACCGGUCCGAUGGAAGAUUCUUGAAGCGGAUCGGUUUUAGUCGGUUUGCGGGUAGCGGCGGAAGGAGGAAAAGGGUUGAUGCGGGCAUACAUGGUCGGAUUCGGAGUUUGGUUUUGGGCCCGUCGGAAACCGAAUCCGACCGAAGAUAAUAGUUAAUGAUGGUUAGGCCCAACGCAUUCUCAGAAUCCCCAGCCCAAUCUGAAAUUCUAUAAGCUGAUGCUUCCAAUUUUGCAAACCCUAAUCCCUUCCUUAGCCCAAUAUGAAAUUCUAUAUAUUCUUCAAUUGUAGCGAACCCUAAUCCAUCUCCCAGCGGCCGUCGAUUCUUGCUUUUGUUAGUUCGUUGUUGUUGUGCUAUGAACCGCUGUCUCCCACCACCAUCUCCAAUACCGCGGUUCCAUUCAUCUCAGAUUAGAUUAUGAUUAAGAUCUUGAUUCAAGGAUGCAUCAGAGUGGGUUAAAAUAAAAAGAACCUCGUGAAAAUGCAACAAAUGGCUAUAUAUUCAUUCACACAGAAGGCGGUCUAAAUUAGCUAAGAAUCGCGGAACAUAUUCAAACAAGUCAUAAUCUACGGGGGAUUAUAACAAGGAUUUAUUGAAGAUUAGCAAGGAAGAGUUUUUUUUUGGAUGUCCAUUGAAUUGAAUUGAAUUGAAUGUGAAUGUUUUUCUUCUAUUUGGGUAAUUUUUAUUGAGUAUUACUUCUA